rnacentral:lncRNA from 1 species
CAGCACUUCCCCGCCUGUGGGGCACGCCCAGCGCUUGUGUGUGGUAGGGGUCCCAAGCUCAAGGACUUACAGAGUCCUAGGCAGCAGCUGAAGACUUGUAGAGUCUGAGAUAUCAACGUGGGGACGAGCAUGGGGAACUCGCCUGGGUGUGCGUGCUUGUUACCUGCCUGUUCAACUCAAUUGUCACACGUUCCUGGGUGCACAAAAUGAUAGAGGAGUUCAGACAAAGAUCGACAGAAAGAGAGAAAGAAUGAAGUUCUGAGAGGUCAGGACAUUUUUUUGUACAAAGGAGGACACUGAGCUGGCUUUGAAGCAUGAAAAGGACCUCCCAGACAGUGGAUGUGGGAACAGGUGUGGGACUUCCAGGCAGACAGACCGACUGGAGACGAGUGUGAUGUGAUGAGCUGUGGAGUGUAGGGGAUGUCACAGAAUAUCACUCUGGAUGGAUGGCUGUUCCUGGGGUGUCCACUGGGAACCAGGCAUGGCACUAGUGCAGCUGUAAUGAUAAGAGUGAGCCUGGCUGAGUUGCAUCCUCCCAAAAUUCAUACACUGAAGUCCUAACCCUCAAUAUUUCAAAAUGUGACUGUAUUUGGAGAUAGAGACUUUAAAGAGGUUAUUAAGUUAGAAUGAGGUCAUUGGGGGGCCCUAAUUCUAUAAGACUGGUGGAGAUGAGGAGAGGAGAGGAAGUUAGAACUCAGGCACAUGCAGAGGAGGACCAUGUGAAGACAUAGGGAGAGGAGAGCCACCUGCAAACCAAGGGGAGAGGCCUCAGGGAAACCAGCCCUGCACUUGCCUUGAUCUUCGAUUCAAGCUCCAGAAUCAAGCUUGAAUCAAUUUCAG